CCCGCGGAGACCGCCGGCGGCCGCGGUGCCCCCGCGCUCCCCUCGGGCGGACGCGCUCCCGGUAGCGGUUCCCCGGUGGAGGUUCGGGGCCGGGGAGGAGCGUUUGGGCUUCUGUUGUGGCGCCCUUUCUCUGCGUGGCCGUAAGUGCUUCCAGAUGGGGAUUCGGCCACCAGACGUAACAAUAUUUCCAUAUUUGGUAUAGCAGUAGCCCGCAUUUUUCACAUUUUUCUGCUCUGUUAUCCAACCGCAACGCAUUCUUGACAGCUUCAGAUGCUGUUAAAUAUAGCCCUCGCUGCCGUUCCCAGGGCAGGAAAUUCUCUGGAAUUCCUGCUUUUCACGCAAUCUGUCCAUCAUGAUUUAGGAGCGCAGCGCCGGAGCAGCCAACCGGCGUUACCCCGCCGCGGGUACUGCGAAAAGCGGAGCUCCGUCCGCGCUCCAGCGGCGUGACCGCGAGUCCCCGUCGCGGGGAUUCCUUACGAGCGAGAGCCGUCCCUGACACCGGUUUGGGGUGGGCGACGGGGGAGGUUUUUUUCUUCUUUUUCGGUUGCCUUCGAGGAUGGAGGUGGAGGCGCGCAGGAGAGCCCCGCGCGGCGGAGGGGUGGGGAGGGCGGGCUGCGGGCACUGCGGCUCCGCCGGCGGCGCGGCCCCGCGGGACGGACGCGGCUCCGGGCUGCCGUGCGCUGGGGGACGGCGUCACGACGGCGGACGGCACGCGCGCGGCUUGGUGGAACACCCCGCGGGUGCUUUUUGUUCGAGGUGACUCUACAGGGCAGCUUUGUGAUCAGUUGGAACAGCGUUGUCGUUCAGUGCGUUUUGGUUAAUGAAAACUUGGAAAAGGUUGAAGCGAGAAGAGCUGCUGCAUCAGAGCGUGGUUAAAUUGGACCGUUUUGCUUUUCAGGGAUUUAUGCAAACACUUGUCUAUUUAAUGACAUCUUAUUUAAGGACGUGCAUCAAGCAUUCUGCUUUGAUCUGUGGCUUUCACAACAUUCAGCAAAUGCCACAGGGAAGCCAAUGAAUGGCGCUUUUCUCAGUUGGUUUCGUGUCUUACCACACAUCCACACAGCUCUGAUGGGAAACUGUAAACGAACCUGCAUUUGCUCAAAAAAAAAAGGUCACUUGGAAAGCUUUGAAGCGCCUUUUGACAAACCUGUCCUGAAUCUCAAGCAGCUGACAACGUUUGAGAUGGGCUGAGAGUCUCUGCGUUCGGGUUGGACCGUGAACCUUUCAUACACUUCCAUUGCACGCGGUUCCCCGUCACAAACUGUGACCUGGAGUUUACAUCCCAGGCUGUGACUGUGUCUGCAGGUGUACAUCAGGACACAGGAAAAGGCUGGGAGCAUCGUUUAUGGGUUUUGUUCAGCGUAACAUCAAGUUUCAGGCCUCUGCUGUCCUGUUCCUAAGGGAACUGGGAAAUAUUCCCAGCUUUAUGUAAUGAAGAGCAUCUUACUGUCUCCCAGCUUGUGUGCCGUAGGUUGGUAAGGUGAGGUCGGCUGGGAGCUUGGUUAAGCAGGAGUUUGGAACAGUUGGUUAAUGCGCCAGAUCGUGCAGAUUUACCAGGUGUAUAUACUGUCAUUUCCACAGGCCUUUAUUUCUCCACGGAAAGAAGUUUCAGGAGAAACAAAUCAAGAAGAAACCCAGAUGAAAAACAUAGUUUAUCACCCAAGGUCAUCAUUCCACAGCCGUGUGCGGGGACACUGGAUGGGCGCUGCAUGGGACAGACAGCCCUCCAAAGCACUGGUGUGCCCGGAGGUAGAGAACAUCAGGACUUUACAGUCACAUGAAUUCUGGGAAGGUUCUUACCAAAACCAGCACCCAGCCCUUGCUUUCCUACUGUCUCUUAUGUCCUCUUACCCAUUCUCUCUUUCCUUUGCCCGUCCUUUACUGAGCAUUUCUUCCAUCUCUCAUUCUCUUUCUUCUCCCUUUCCCUGUUCCGGGCUUUUUCCCAACAACCUUUCCUCUCCUAAUGUUUACCUACCUUCGCUUGGGCCUCUCCUGCAGCUCCUGCCAGGCCGCCGGUUCCUGCUGCACUAAAUCAGUUCUUCCAGAGUCAAUGGCUCCUCUCAGUGACUCACAGGAGGUGCAAAUCCAGCGGGGCAAAUUAAGCAUAGCGACAUAGCACAGAAUAGCCAGAAGGCUUCAGCAGCUCAAAUCCGAGUGGGAUCAGGCUUUUUUUUUUUUCCCCUCGCUUUGAUUUGCUCAGUUUAUGCUGAAUACUUUGAGUAUGCUAUUUCCUAUUUGUUUUCUUCCUUUUCCCCACUGCCCUCCCUUUAGCUGUGCUCACGCCUGUCAGUUUUUGUCUAGUAUGUGCUUUGCCCGUGGUUUCUCUUAUUUGUGGGUUUGUGCUUCACAGCAUCUGUGUACCGAGAGACACUUUGCUCUGUAGGCACACUGAUUUUACCUGUGGCUGCUGUCAGGGAGUUGUGAGGGUUCCUCUUCUGUGACUGUGGAAAGGGAACUUGUGAGGCUGCUGACCCUGCAGGGAACCCAGACAAGUAAAAUCUGCAAUAUUAUUCAGUUGUUCUCAUUGCUUCUUCAAGAACCAUCCCUGCAGAUGGUCACUGGCAGUAUGUGCCUCGUGGCUUCUCACCCAGGGCUGGAUGCAGAAAGGAAAGUAGUUAACAUCUUCUAUUUAGCUCCUCCAGCUUGUUCACAGAACCCAACACUCUUUCUUGCUGCCGCUCAGGGAGAUGGCAUUCAAUUUAAUGCUACAGUAGCGGCUCCUGUAGCACUGGGAAGGCAUUCAGUUUUCCUCAGCAAGGCAGGUGGAUUACUAAGGUACCUUAACCUGCUCUCACGUGCAUGUCCUUUGACACCAGGAUAUGCUCAGAAGACAGUAUUUGCAGCGGGCACUUCCCUGUAGCUGAAGUUUUCAAUGAAAAGACUGCUGCAGGCUUUGGCCCGAGCUCUCUUUGCCGUGUAAAUAAGUAAUGAAAGUCGGGUGGUCCUGGCCAGCACCUGCAUGCACACGGACCUCCAAAUCAUGUCUGUCUUCUUUAUGCGGUGAUUCUACUUGAAAUAUAAGUUGAAAUCUCUCUUCACGUGCCUUACUAAAAUUCUUUUCGCAGCUGUGUGUUGUAUUGCAGAAGGAAGCUGAGGCAUCAGGACUGCACACAGCUUCUUUCCCAGCACCAGCUAAGGAGAAAGUCUUGGACGUGGAUCCCAUAUGACCUCAGGAGAAACUUUUUCAUAGCUUCCAGCUUUGGCCCUCAGUGUGCAGGAUUUCCCUGUGGAGCAGUACUGCUUGUAAACUGACAUCUUUAUUAAGAUGAAAUGAGCAAGCUCAAAGGAAAAUUGGUCGUGUUCACAAAGGGUUGCUGGAGCAGGGUUAGCCUGAUUGCAAUCAAUAGAACAGUGCCUGAGCAAUUUUUGAUCAAAGAACACCUGUGGGCUGUGGUCCGUAAUGGUCUUCAGCUGUUGCCUGCCUCAGUCCACCUCAUAGCUACACCUUAGAGACAAUUGCCUUCUGCCUCUAUCUGUGUUGUGGAGCUCUGCAGCCCAGAAUGUCUGCUCUUCAGCACGUUCAGGAAUGCUUUAAUUCAACAACUUCCAA
ensembl:lncRNA